AGUCGGCCAUGUGGCCAACGAACGUCGAGCAUGGGCUGAGCUUUUGGGCUUGUCUUC
rnacentral:rRNA from 1 species